GUUGCCUACUCAGCUGUAACCAUUUUUAGGAUAUUUGAGGUGUGGGGUUUUUCCUCCCUGAAGCUGAAUUCAACACAAUUUUCUGUCAAAUAGAAAGUGAGAAGUUUUUUAGAAAACAUGGAAUUUUUCAGACCAUUUAAAAUGGAUAUAACACAUUCAUUUCAUUCACAAAAGAUGGUUAACUAAACUGAAAAUGGAAAUCUUUAUUAUUCAUAAAAGAAUUGUUCGAUAUUGGGCUCUACAAAUAAACUUCAGCAUAUCCAGGAAGAAGAGUGUUACAUCAUGUGGGCUCCUGUGAAAUCAAGGCAAGGAUAUUCAGCGUGUAGCUAACACACCUAGCCUGUGAUUGAGACACUCAAGCAAUGCAACACAAAAUUGCAUUUAUUUAACAUAUGAACACUGUGGACUGCUGUGUGUGACUGGCAGGAAAUUCUGCACCCACCCCACUGGGACACCUAUUUCCCACUGACCAAAAGCAGCUGGGGAAAGGGCUGGGCAGCUCUUGGGAAGGGAGCACUAGAAAGCCUUCAGAAAGAAUCAGCCCUUCCAGGGUGUGCAGAGCCUUCUGCCAGAGCUGGAAGCAGACCUGUACCUGUCUGGAGAAACAAGGCUACAAAGAAAUAAUCCUUUAGUAUUAAAACUAAAUGAAGUUGAUUCCAGUGAA